GCUGUAGAGUGACGGCAUCCUGCUGACACUGGCAGGCCCGGCGACAGGUGGGGUCAAAGGGGACACCCGUCCCGCUGGCCGCCUGCUUCGUAGUGUGAAUGCCUAGACGAUACCAUCCAAGGCUUCCUGGAGCGUGGUUAUCCCCAGUGUGUGGGUGCUAUUGAUGGGACUCCUAUCCCUAUCAUCACUCCCCUUGACAACCCAGUGGAUUACUACAGCCACAAAGGAUGGCAUUCUAUUGUACUACAGGCUGUAGUAGACCAAAAGUACUGAAGUGGAAGAUUGUGGAUGGGGUGGAGAUCCCAGUACACCUGAUUGGAGAUUCUGCAGAUUCUUUGAAGUUAUGGCUUAUGAAGGGUUUCACUCAAUGGGGGAGAUUCAAAUGUUUGAAAAGUCAGUUGUGUGUAUGUUUUUUCCCUAUCUAAUAGACAGGAAAAACAGACACCCAACCGACUUUUCAAACAUUUGAAUUCCCCCCAUUGUGUCCACUUGUCGCUGGAGAAAAUGCCUUUCAUCCGCUACCGCAGUUCUGCCAGGAUGGAUGUGGAGAAUGCCUUUGGGCGUUUAAAUGGACAUUGGUGCUGCUUGAUGAAGAUAUGGACCUAAAACUAAUGGCCGAUGUUGUUGCUGCCUGCUGUAUUCUCCAUAAUAUCUGAGAUACAGAAGGAGCAUUUCCUACCGGAGUGGAGGUGUGCACUAUAGUGGGGGGUAGUAUGAAUAUAUUUCGUGAAAUUCGUAGCAAGUGGUGACCUGUGGUAGCUUGACACAUCACACCAAGCACUCCGACAUUUUCAAUAUGCUAUCCCCACUAUUAGGAUACUGCCACUAUGGCUCGUUGCCACAAUUUUUAAGAAGCGUAUAAAAAUUAUUAAAUUAUUAACACUCACGUGGUAUAGAGUGGUGCAUAUAUUUUCUUUUUUUAGGGGCACCAAAAAUAGCACUUAGAAAAUAACAUAAAUAUUAGGGAUGUAGUCAGGAUCCCAGCGGUCAGAAUACCGAUGCCAGGAUCCCGACAGCCAGAAUGCCGGCAGCUAUUUCCACUCCUGGGUGUCCACGACUCUCUAGGAGUGGGAACAAAACCUGUAGCGAGCAUAGCGAGCCACCAAAACCCCCUGCUGGCAUUCUGGUGGUCGGGAUCUCGGUGUCGGUAUUCUGACCGCCGGGAUCCCGUACCCAACCCAAAUAUUAGCACCUUUAGUCCAAAAUGUUUUGAUAUAAUAUUUUAACACUAUAAACUUUUAUAUCUUUAGCCAAAAAAUGUUUUCAGACAGAGUUAUUGCCUGAAGAUUGAAUAAGGGUGCUCCUGUGGUGAGGCUUGGUAUUGUGGCUGUGUGGGGUUCCCAUUUACUAAGCGCUGAAGGAACGACUUAUGUACAUGUGAUUUCUUAGUUUUUUAUUUUUAAAAAAUGUGCAAAAAUCUCAAAAAAACUUUUUGGAUGUUGUCAUCAUGGGGUACUGUGUGUAGAAUGUUGAGGGGUAAAAAAUGAAUAUACUCCAUUUUGUAAUAAGGCUGUAACAUAAAAUGUGGAAAAGUGAAGCGGUGUGAAUACUUUCCGAAUGCACUGUAGACAUAGAGGUGCAAGCAUACAUGUGUUUGUGGCAUUCUCCCACCUCCACAAAAGCUACCUACUGCAGUAGAUAAUUUUCUUUAAAUAUUCUAUUUUUAAGAUAAAUUGUGGGUUCUGAACUUUGAUAUAUAUCUUGCGCAGAGCUUUACCUUUAUUUUUUGCUGCUCCGACCUUUGCAUUCCAUAGGUGUAUAUUUGUUCAAUGGAUAUUGAAAUGUUCAAUGAACAGAAGACUGUAGCAUAUAAACAAGCAAAGGUGCCGCACCUGUGUUAUUGGCCUAUUCCCCAAUGCACGCUUGCUACACUCUGCAGCAGAUAGCAUGUUAUUUUGGAUAACAAUUUUUGUGUGUGUUUUAUACAGGUUUAAGUUAAUAAUUAUAGGAGUUUCUAUUGCCUGAAUUAAAAUGCAAUGUUUGUAGAUGUAUGUAGUGUUUUUAUAAGGAAAAAAAGGCUUUAUACUUACAAUUUUGACGCAAUGCAGGGAACUUGG